AUUAAAUGGAAGGAAAAAAACCAAACCCACCUUGCAGUGCCAUUUUGGUCAUACAACAAAAUGUGGAGUCAGCUCUGAUCCUGGUGAUACAAGAGGAAGAAUUGGAAAGCAUUAAGAUCAUGCAGAAAGAGUUUCAUCCUACAGAAGGCAAAGUGACUUCAGUACCUCUACACUGUGCUGUGGGAGAGAUUUGCAACUUGGGUCCAAACUGAGAAACUGCAGUGAUAGGAGGAAUUUGCAAUAUACAUUACUGCUACAAGGUAAACCAAUGAUUUUAUUUUCUGUGUUUUCCCUAUAUAACUUCAGCAACAUGAAAUGCUACAAGACUCCCAAUGUGCCAAACAACAGAAUCAUUUUAAGCAGAAGGUUAUUUUAUUAGGCCUGAACAAAAUGCAGUGUUCACAGAAAUAACACACCAUGAGUUAUGAAUGUGUUUACCAUUUCAUCCCAGGCUCAUUCCUGUUCCAGUUCAGUUUAAUAACAAGAUGUUGUUAAAUUCAAAAGGAGCAGAUAGAGACUAGUAUAAGGAGUGAUGUUAUAUUAAAAAUCUUGAAGGCAAGAAAACAAUUUCUGUAGAGAAUUUGGUACACCUCAUUACAAAAUUACAUUAAGCUCAUGGGGAAUGUUCUAUGCAUUGUUGCGUGUUCUGUGUUGAGAAAGAAAAGCUGAAGUCUUCCAACAAGCAAUUUGUAUUAUACAGGUAACAUUUCAGUUACUAAUAUCUUAGUUGUGAACACAUCAUUUGAAGAUUAUUUGUAAUUAUAAAUAUCAUCACUUCUGAGAUUUAAACAUGAAUUAAAAUCAGUUUGAAAAGAAACAAGGAAAUGCCCUUAAGAUUGAAUUGUUUUGCUCAAUCUGCAUUACCUAAAGGUUAACUAGGUCUGAGGUUCAAAACAGCUGGUAUUCAGUUCUUCAGGAGUGUCAGCAUUGUUAUCUAGUGGUUUGUGACACUGCAUAAGAAGAAAUGAAAGCUGCAUACUGCUAGAAAUAGGAGGAAAACCAGCUUUUAGCCCUAUGACAUUGCAUAAGUACUGCAACACUGAGGAUGAGUUCUGCUGGUAUCAGCUGAAAUGCAGCAGGAGGAGCUCUCCACCCUCCUUGACAUCCCACAUGAACCUAUAACUCACAGCAGCCACUUCCUGAGUAAACACAUUCAAUUUGGGGAAAAAAAAAAAAGAAGAAUCAAAGCAGUCAAGUGUGCAAGUGGGGCAAAUGCAUCUGAUAAGUUAUAUCUACUGAGCUACAUGUAGUGACUUUCCUCCAUAAAAGUUAUCUGGUCCUAGUUCCAUCAUUUUUAUAUUUAAUUUUUGGAAUUAUCUCUCAGGUUUUGACCUUCUACAAAAUGUCAGUAACUAUGCAGAUGAUAUUAAGUUGACGAUAUUAUUAGCCUAAAAUGUUAUCAUUAGAAUAAUUGCAUAUGGUAAGUACAGGGAAAUUUUAAUGUCCAUAUUAUCAGGUUGUUUUAUGUUUAAUACAGCGGUUUGAUCCUAGAGCAAUGUUAGUUUAUUUACUGUUCAGUGUAUCAGUAUACUUUUAAGAAAGCAUCUGUGAGCAUGAAAAUUAUCCCUGCAAUUUUUGUUUUUAUGUUACUGCUGCUGUUAUAUUCCUACUAUUUUUAUUGCUACUUUUUGUUCCCGUCAUGCACUACCCAACAAACAAGAAGCAAAAUAAGUGGGCUUACAAAAUUAUAUAUCAAGACUUUCAUUCUACUGUGAAUAACAUAAGAUAUUUGAAUCUUGGAAUAAAUACAGUACUGAUAAGUGCAUUUAUACAUUAAAUUAAGGGCUUCUUAAUGCUACUUACAGAAACACAUGAAGACUGAUUUAUUUGAAUCAUGAUCUAAUACAUGGGAAAAUUGUUUUCAUUAAAAAAGAAAAAACAUCCGGGUGAAAACAAAAAAUCUGUAAUGUUGUAAGAACAAACCUAAUUCCAUUUUAUUGUGAUCAGGAAGUCACCAACUUUGCAUACAGACCUGAGAAGACAAAAAUGGGAAUAUUACUGAUUGGCACUAUAAUGUUAGUAUUUUGUGUCAAUGUGAAGAGCAUCCCAGUGAAGCUGCUGCCAACAGAUAGUAUUCCCUUACAUCACAGAGAUCCAAGCCUUUGUUUCUGCCAAAGAUUAACAAAUUCUACCGAAGAAAUAGCUCUCCCAAACCACACUCUAAAGCUGAAAAACACGUUUCAGGCUUGCUCAUUGGUCUAUAACAUUUAAGUCAGUGAUAAAUGACAGUCAGUAGCUGUUUAACCAGAACAACAAGAGUAACACAUGUUGUUGUAUCAUUUGCAUUCCCGGAGAACAGAAAUAUCAAAGUGGUUAUAAUAACAUAUAACAUUCCAAUGUUAUUAGACCAAAACAUAUCCUUCUCCAUAGCUAGUGCUAUGCAGGUGAGAAGAAACAAGUAUUUUUAGCUUGUAGUGGAAAUGUAGUCAUCAGGUUGAGGGAGAUGUGUUAGACUAGAAGCAUGGGUCACAUAUGACAAUACAAGCUGCUCACUGUUGUAACACAGUCCUGCCAAAGAGAUGUACUUCAGAUCAUUGAUCUUUGAUAUUUGAAUUAGAACAAAUAUUCAAAUUUUAUGGAGGGGAGAAGAUAAUUUAUACUGUCUCAGACUCUCCCCUUGGACUCUGACCCCUAAAAUGUACCAUCCUACUCCAUACUGAUCUGUUGCAAGGAGGAAUUCUUGCCCAAACUAACAGUGAAACUAAAUCUUCUUCUAAUCUCGACAGCACUCUUCCUGAGAAACUGCAAUAUAAAAUUUAUCAAAAACUCAGUGGCUGCCAAGGCUAAGAAAGAUGGAUAUUUUUCUGGUAAUCCAAAAUUUUAAAUGAAUAAAGUGCAGCCCUUGGGUACAAUCUCUUAUACUUGCCAGAGUCUGUAGUAUCAAUUUUAUUUAAAUUUUGAGAGUGAUUAAUAUACACAAAGGCAGUUUACUAAUGCUUUACCCAUUUGUAGAUUAAACAAAGACUCAUUAGCUCACAUGAGACUGUUCAGUUUUAUUUUUAGCUACACUAUGGCUGGUGCAAUGACUCUUCUUUUAGCAUUUUCAUUUUGCAUUGCCUUCAGUCCUGACAUGAAAGUUAACAUUAAUCUGCCAACUCAUUCUGAUUGGAUUGCUUUGGAAGUCACUCCAAAGUCACAAUGGCUAAAUGGGAUGAAGCUGUAAGACAGAAAUGCACUGCAGUUAAUACCUCUGCAGUACUGAAGCUAAGCCAGGGCCAGCCCUAAUUCCUAAAAGAAAACAAAUCCACAAUAAUCCAUCCCUUAAUUCUGAACAGAGUGGCACAAUGCCAAAUAAUAUAAAACUUGCAUUCUUUACAAAAGCACUGCAUCUUAUUCCACCGUGGAUUCUCUUGGCCUUUUAUUCGUGUAAUUUGAGGUCAGUGAGCAGCAUACAUGUGAAGGUGUUAUCUAUACUGACACUUACAGCACUCCAGUAUUCUCCUGAAGUAAGAGGACUCAGGGAGGAAAUGGCUGCUGAAACAAUACAUUUAAGCUUCUGUUGCAACAAUUAGAGGGCAAAAAUUAAGAUUCUUUCUAAUACCACAGCCAUUCCCACCCAGGACUUUUUUUCUAAGUGUAUUUUCAGUCAUUUAAUCCAUCUAAAGUCCAGUUGGGUAAAACUACAAUUGUUACUGUUAUUUUCUUAAUCUGGGUCAGAUUUUGGUUUUACAAAAAGAAAGGAUGGCCCCAUUCAUGUCUAAUUAGACUCAAACCAGAGAUUUUGAUUAGGAGCAUGCUGAUUUUAGCCCAAACCUAGACUGUGUUUUUAGAAUCUAUUCUCCCUAGAGUCCUCUCAUGAUGAUAAUUUAGCGUGACAAAAAGAACCAGUUUAGACAUUUCUAUCUUCAUCCAAAUAUGUGUCUUCAUAUAGAAAUAAGCCUUAAAAUGUUUUUCCUAACACGAAAUGUCCCACAGAAAUAUAUAUGCAUGUUGGGAUGUAUUAGGUGGAUAACAAGUAUCUCUAGAGGUCAGGUAUCAUUUAGGACUCCUUAGGAUUCCUUUGUGACAGUUGUCUUAUCAUGUAAAUAUCAUAUAAUAUUAAAAUUUGUUUUGUAUUAUUAACAUAUAUAUUUCAACUUCAUGUUAAAUCAGACUGUAAGAGUUGUUCAUUACCUUACCAGAGAUGACAAACAAGAACAAAGCAGUAAAGUGCCUCACUUGUUUCAGGAUUGACCGACAUAGGGGGAACGAUUGUUUACGAGGGAGGAUAGCGAUAGGACAAGGGGGAAUGGUUUUAAACUGAGACAGGGGAGAUUUAGGUUAGAUAUUAGGAGGAAGUUUUUCCCUCAAAGGGUAGUGACACACUACAACAGGUUGCCCAAGGAGGUUGUGGAUGACCCGUCCAUGGAAGCAUUCAAGGCAAGGCUGGAUGUGGCUCUGGGCAGCCUGGUCUAGUGGUCGGCAACCCUGCACUCAGCAGGGGGGUUGAAACUAAAUGAUCUUUGAGGUCGUUUUCAACCCAGGCCAUCCUAUGAUUCUAUGAUUCUAUGACAUUACUGUAAAUGAAAUCCCAGUAAUCCUGAAAUUCUAAGGCCUGGAAGUUAAAUAUUUCUUCAUAGUAUAGAAAUAUUUCAAGAAAUCCAAUUUAACAUGUAUCAUAGGAUAUUGAAAACAAUUCAUUUUUCAAACUGAACUUGAUAUAUUCUUGACCACACGUGCAGACGGCUGUGCAGACAAAAAUGAUCUUUUCCCUUCCACCAUGUUUUUAUCACUAUAGUACAUCUGGCCCCAGUGCCAUUGUCAGUGCGUGGCUGGAUGUCUGGAGUGAUGCAUAAUGAUAACUAACCAUGAGACAGCCCCCUUUACUCAGCCAUGUCUGCAUUCAGUUCUGUGUGACGACCUGGUAUGGCUUUGAAAAGCAAUGUCACUUCAUCAGGUUAACCCUACAUUUGUGUCAGGCCCUAUCUGUUCACCUGUACUGUGCUGACACAGCUAUUUGCUUCUGUUCUGAGGUCCAACUGUAGCUCUGCAUUAGGCAUUCGUGUAUGUAUAUAAGGGAACAUUCUUGCCUAUUGUUAAAAUCUAUUUUUAAAGGUUGAAAACUGUACUUACCUCCAGCAAAUGCUGCAAACAAUUGACUCACAAGUGAACUAUAAAUAAUGCUCACAGCAUAGAGCCCAUGUAGCAUACUGCUCUAACAUUACUGAAUAUUCAGAACCUGCUGCCUCUGGUAGCUAUAUACGUCAUGUUCAUGACAGGUUCAGGCUUCAGUAGCCCAGAGCCCAAGAUCCGGCAUGUGUUUUGGAACAAGAGCAUUUGCGGAUUAGUGAAUACCAGCCACAGGGCCAGGUAUGAUGGGGAAAGCUGGAAAUACAAAGUGUCUCUACUGACAUUCUAAAUAUUACCACAAAAGUAUAUGAAAUAUAGGGAUUGGGAGGAGAUGAGGGGAAUUUCUGCCAAAUACUGCCAGAUAUAAAGCAAUUUAGAGAGCUACAGGCCCAGCCUCCAUCAUAUGCAAGACUUCUGAUUCGGGCAGAUUUUUGAAGGAAGUACCGCAGACAUAGAAUGUAGGAUGAAAGUGGCUUUGGCAAGGAUAGAUCUUCCCAGGCUGGGCUGCUAAAUUUUUGACCAACAUCAAAACAAGUGUGGUGGGAGAUGGAGCUGUUAUGGUUGUCUCCCUGUGGGUUAAUGGGUCAGCCCUAACCAAGGAAAGGGCAGAACAGAGCACUUAGCCCCUUGGGAGUACCAGGGGAGAAGUGAAGGAGAAGGAGCGGUUUUUCCAUGUUUUGCCAUUCAGAAUGAUGCAGCAAGUCUCCAGCACCCCUACCACAACCAAACAGACCUGCAACAAACAGACCCUACUUGUCAGGGAGAGAAUAAGAGGAAAAUGAAAUACACGGUCAAAGAAACGAGCCCAACAACUGUGACAUGUACACAGCAUCAGAUCUGUGUCUGAGUUCAACACAGCAUUAUAGCCUCAUCCAAAGUUUGUUGUCUCUCUUAGAAGAAAAUGAAAUGUGAGAUCAUGGAGGCAAGAUUCUGGCAGGGGUAUAACCAUCUCUUCACUGUGCUGUAUCUCAGGUAUUAUAUUCAACAAGAAUCUGAAAUGCUGUAGUGCAUACAUGUAUAGGCUGCUAUUAAAUCAAGUCAGCUAGAGGUCAUUAACACCCAGUAACUCAAUGCUUCUAUGAUGAGAAUGUGCCUACUUCUACAGCUAUUGAAAAAAAAUCACUGCAUUUGUACUGCAUCUUGGUUUAUGACUCAACUUUUUCACACGCCAGUCUCUCAACUAACUCUAUUAACUCUUCAAUAUACAUAUGUAGAUGAAUUAGUCAGUUGGACUGUUCAGUUGUUCCACAAGUCACAUUGUGGGUCUAAUCUACCUAUUUAUAUAGAAAAGUUGGCUGGGUGUAAAAAAAGAUAUUUCAUAAAUUAAGCUACAUAGGAAAUAUUUGGAUUUCGAGCAUUUGUUCUGAGACAGUAAAUGAAUGAAACAGAUAUCUUAUUUCUGACCAUUCUUUUACUAUUUACCCAGGCAAAGCUACUUUGAAGAUUAUUCAGACUCUGCUGUUUAAACCCAAGGUUAUGGCAAGUUCUACAUCUCACGUGAAAAAUGAUGUCAUUCCUUUAUGGGAAAGGAUUAUUACAUGUAAAAACACUGUUAUCUUGAGUUACAACUGAUCAAAAAAAUCUAAGAUAGUUACAGAUAUUUCUGCUGUUGUACUUUGCAUGUUCUAUUUUAUUUUAUUUAAAUUUAUUUUAAUAAUUUUUUUUAUUUCAGAUUGUUCUGGGAAAAUCCCUCCAUAUAUAAGUUGUGGGAAAAUGCUUCAGUUAAUUAAAUAGAAAUACUAUCAAAUGCAUAGAGGAUAGACUUGUGGUUUGUUUUUUUUGUUUUUGUUUUUGUUUACAUCUAAAUCCCAAACAAGUAUAAAUGCAUUCUUUUGCUGCCCUGACGUAGCACCAGUAAUCGAAAUUCAAAGUGUAUAUGCUGGACUGUUUUCCAGCUCUGUAGUAGGGACAAGAAAUUUCAAUGAAAAUAGAGUUCCGGCUUUGCCCUUUGCCCUUUCUGCCUUACCACAUUCUACUCAUUAUUUUGAUUCAAUCUUCUGUUAAAGGAUUCUUCCAUCAGUUCUCAGAUAACUGAAAAUAAACCUAUGUGAGUUCAAACAAAAUUCAUCUCCAAUGUGCCACACAGUAUUUUAAACUUAACAGUUGCUUGCAGAAAAAUGUAUAAGUAGAUUUCCAAAUCAAUGAAAAGCAAUAAAGAUUUUUUUCCUGGUAUUUGUCAAUUGUAGGGUUAACAAUUUCAGAAGAUUUAAAAUGAACACUGAUUUUGGUUGGCAAAUUAUUAUGACAUCAUCUUUUCCCAGAUAUACUAUAAAAUGCCCAUAAUUCUUUUGGUUUUCCUAGGGCCUGGCUGAGGACUAAAUCUGUUCUUUCUUACAGAAUAUUGGAUUUUUUGAAAUUAUGGCUUCACUAUGGACUUCUGAGAUAUUUUUUAGCAGAAACGAAAUAAAAAGGAGUUAUUAAAAGCACAAUUAUUGGAUGAUUUGGCAACAUUACACCUAAAGCAUAAAAACCAUCUUCCACUUCAUUUUUUCAUAUUCUGCUCCUCUAACUUAGAUAAAUCUGGAAUUUACUUGAAUGCUGAAAAGAAGGGAAGGGCAGGGCAGGGCAGGGAAGGGAACGGAAGAGAAAGUGAUUCCUGCAAAUAUGUAAAAUAUUAUUACCAUAAUAUAACAUUAAUUAAAAGAAAAGAGCUUACAAAACCUUAGAAGAAACAGGCUUAUGUCAAGGACAUCGACAGUUCACUGUAGGGAUGCUGGAGAAGGAUGUGAAAUUUCACUAAGUUUUAUCGUGUACUUCUGGAAAUUACUUGAAGAAUACCAUUCAUUUUCCCUUGAUUCUUUCCUGAUGGGUCAGCAUCAAAGGAGAAAAAAGACUAAAGUAUUUAUUGCAUUGUAAGUAUUUAGAGAAUUAGAGACUUGAAGUUAUUCAUGUAGAUUGUCUGCCAUUUUUACUGAGAUUUUCUUUGCUAAACAGACUUGAAAAAUGUUUUAUAAGCCUCUGAAAUGCUUGCAGUAAUUUAAUUUCCUCACUUUUAUGUCAGUCUCUCAUUCUUCUGUCCUUUAACUGGAAGUCAGAAAGACAAAAUCCUGGUGCUUGAGUUGAAAGAAUACCAUUAGACAGAGUUCAUUGACCUGAGCCUUCCACAACAUUAACUGUACGUAUGAUACCACUGAAUUACAAUACAGUUUUUCAUUGCUUCAGAAAACUGUAGAAGAGCAUAGCAGGAGGAAGUCUUCCUGAUGCCUCCUUAGCACUUCUUGUGGCCAUUGCUCAGAUACAGAUAAAGAGUGGAAGAGGAAUGACUGCACAAGCUCGAAACUAAACAGAUGCAGAGUAGGUUUUAAAGAAGCCUGAAAAUAACUGGACAAUCAGUACAAAAAAAUAAGGAUUCUGGAACUACAGGUGACAGAUUUUUUUUUUAAUUUGAUGAAACUUCAGACUCAAUUAUGGUAAAAGUCACAUAAAAACUGUCAAAAUUCUAGCUGCCAAUAUAAUGAUAUCAAUUAAUUUAAAUACUAAGAUCUGUAAAGGAUGAAUUUUCUUUCAUCAUGUAGACCGUCAGAUGUAGAAAAUUAAAUUAAAGGCAGAGGCUAUUUCACAUAGAAGCAGCACUUUCCAUAUGCAGAAGAAGAUUUAUUUCCAGAAAACAAAACGUGAUUUGUUAAAGAAUUAGGAAUGGAUUCAGGACUGCAGUUAUGCAGUAGGACACUCCUACAUGUCCUACAUGAAAUAUCUACCAUGAGGCAUGUUUCACACAAAGUUGUUCAGCAAUCAUGGGUAAAGUCUCCACUGUUCCACAGCCUUUAGCCUCUUCGUGAUUACAUAUGGUUUUAAACAACACUGACAACCUCAGUAUUUUUAAGGAAAAGAAACAAUACAGGAUAGGAAGUCAGCAACUCACAAGUGUUUCUGAUCGGCAGGAUAUUAUUUGUAACAUCUAGACGUAUAAUAUUUUAAGUAUGAAAAUUUCUGUAGCACCUAAUAUAACAGAACUUUGAGAUAUUUUUUGAAGUAGUGCUAAUAAAAAACUUUCUGAUUGUUGAUAUACAUAAAUGCAUGAAGCUAUUGUGCCAUUAGUGACAUAAUUUCUUAACCAUCUUGUUUAGAAAAAUGCACACAAGUUCAGUUUUACAAGUUCUAGGAAGCUUAAGAGAAUACCAAAAAUCUAAAUAUGGAAAUAGAGCUAUUUGUUCUAUCAUUAGUAAUGCAGGAAGUGGAGAAAGAAUAGUGAUGUUCUUAACGUGAUCUAAAAGUUUAGGAUUACUAACAAAGAUCAUUAACUUCUGGGAUCUAUGCAGACCAUGUCUGAGGACUGGAUUUAAGCAGAAUUUAGGAAAGAAUAUAGCUUUAUCUCCUAGCUUUUCAUAUGAAAAAGUAUUGGUUCUGUUACUUCUAGCAUGGAGGAUCCAAAAUCUAGUUGUGUGGAUAGUUGCCAAAUUUAUUGUCCAGUAGCUUGAAUUGACUUCUCUUUUUCCUGCAGCAGACUGGCAGAGCAUCUUCUGGCUUGAUGAAACUUGAGGAAAGAAAGACUUGGAAUCUGGUGCUAGAAAUUGCUAAGCAUCAAGGCUAUUGAGAGUAUCACUAGAAAGCAACCUCUUCUGCUGCCUCACUGAGAAAAGGAGGGAGGAACUUGUCGCAGCACAGUGCAAGAAGAGUCUAAAAGUCAUCACAGUCUUGUGUCACCCCCAGUAAUAAGCACUUGCCCCUAAUGCAUGUUGAUGGCCUCAGGAAAUCUGUGCUGAGUACUUAAGAAAUUCAAUGACCUUCAGAUUGAAGAGAAUCCUGGAAGGGCAAGAUGAAGAAGGUGGAUCAGCAGCAAUACAGCUCUUCAUUAUGCCAUAACAUCUGCUGCUAUCAGACUGAAAACAUUUCCGUUCUUCUUAGUCACACUUUGAGCCCAAGCCUAAUCCUAUGGUUAAAGUAAAUUCUGCAUUCAUCAGGAACAUUUCAUAUAUAUAUUUACACAGAUGACUUACAUACAGAUGAGUAUGAACCUUUGUACCACUGAAUAAGAAAAGAAUAAAUGGCAGUGUAACCUCUGAAUAACUUCAAGACAUAAGAAGCGAAGUAGUUCCACAAAGUUCCCUGAAAUAAAAUGCAUAUAAAUGAAAAAGUCGCUGUCAGUGACUAUGAUGGAAGCAGGCUAGCAUUGGUCAAAUGAUUUUAAAACAGAGUUAAAUCCCAGGAAGAACUCUGGAAGCCAAAAUUCCUUCCAUGGAAAUCUAAAUCAUAUGUACCCUGAAAACUUAAGUCUUCCCUGUCUCUGUAUACAUACAUCAUAGAAUCAUAGAAACACAGAAUCAUAGAAUGGCUUGGGUUAGAAGGGACCUUAAAGAUCAUGUAGUUCCAGUCUUCUUGCCAUGGAGCAGAGUUGCCAACCUCUAAAUCAAGCACUGGGUUAGGUUGCCCAGGAUCCAUCCAACCUGGCCUUGAACACUUCCGUCUUCAUUGGAGAGGUGCGCCAGACCUCUUAUCAUCUUCAUGGAUCUUUUUUUUGGACCCUCUCCGACAGCUCCACUUGUGCGGGGGGCCCCCAGACCAGGAUGCUGUACUCCAGAUGGGGCCUCAAGAGGGCAGUAGAGGGGAACAAUCACCUCCCACACCCUGCUGGCCACCCCUCUUUCAGUGUAGCCCAGGAUACAGUUGGCCUUCUGGGCUGUAAAUGCAAGGCCUCCCCUGGCUGAAGCAAUAAGGAAAGGCAAUGAGAAUUCAAUAUUUGAGAACUGGCAGACUUUGUUCCACAACAAAUACUGACAUGUGCCUUGAAGAACACAAGUUCAUGAAGAAAUGGAAGAUGUAUGCAGAAGAAGGAGAGAAGACAGAGUCAGCAAUUUUAGGCAUCGAUACGCGUCAGAGGAUUACACAAGUAGUGCUGCUUGACCAGGAGGGACAAUCAGAAACAUAGGUAGACCCAAGACUCGAGGUGGAAUAUUGUGCAGUGGCAGUACUGCACGCAAAAUACAAAAGAGAGAGCAAUUUCUUGAAGAGUGUAAUCAACAAGUUGUGAUUUUCUUAAAAAGAUAAGUGAAAAAGUGCUGUAUUACUCUUGUGUGAAGGGAAACCACACGGAGCACAGUUACACUAUCCUCAGUGGAACAAUGAAGGGGACUGUGCCCAAGGGAAUGCAAUACCUCCUGAAACUGAUGGAUGUGCAUGAAAAGUAGUGACUUCUUGCCUUUAUUUAACAUGGGAAACUUGUUCAUUGUAGUGUCUGCUCUGUGAUCAAAGAGGAAUUUCUCCAUGUAAUCUUUUUACCAGGAGACAUGGGAACUUACUAGGAUUUACCCUGGCAUACAAAGGAUGAUGAAAGGAAACUUAAACAUCUGCAAAUGCCAGUGAGGACUGACAACAGUCUGCACUUACUUUCUGGGUGUGCUUUUUAGGUCAUUUGUGGGAAACAUUUUGUUAAAUAAAUUGAGCUUUUUUUUCUAUAGGAGUCUGAAAUAGCCACCAUCAGCACUGCCAGCUUAUGGGACGGGGAUUAUCAUGCAGUGGGGAAAUUUGUUGAAGCAAACACAACCCCUUAGCAAUUCUCCUCUCUGUGUUUGCCUUCACGACUGCCUUGGAUGAGUGCUCAAAGAUUAUAUAACCUGGCAGCAGCUCUUUAGGCUGGUUUUUGAGCCUACAAUAUCUGCUGUAUCUUGCUCAAAAUAAAAAGGAUGUACUUGAUCAGAGUUAUUUAAAUACUACUGUCACUAAUGCAGCUUCUUUCAUAUGUCAGACAUUAUCAACAUUUUACAUUUUUCUUAUUAAAGUAGUUAGCAAUAAUUAAUUUUUUGUGGCUCUAUUCCUACUUAGAAAAGGCUAAAUAGCUGGCAAGCCUCUUAAAGUAGGAUUAGACUGCAGACCAGCUCAGACAAUGCUUCCAGGCAUUGGGGGUGUACUGCAGAAUCAGUUUAAUAAAGUCUGAUUAGAUUACUUUCUCUGGUCAAUUUGAAGCACACUGGCCACAGGAUAAAUCAUCUUUUUAUCUCACUGCUUUGCUCUUUUUCUUUGCUGAAGCAUAUUUUAAAAACAUUAAACAUAUUUUCUAAACAUCUAUGUAUUUACAGAUGCAAAAGAAGCAUAACCUUUUGAAUUCCCUGUUGCCCUAGCGCAGUUUGAUAUUAUAACUCAGAGUAAAAGAUACACCCAUUCUCUGAGAUGUCUGUGAUCAGUUGUUUACUUUCUUAAUACAUUUCCAUUUUUCCUUUCAUAGAAGUCCCUGCUUGUGUCACAAGAAAACAACCUUUCAUUCCUUAACCGGAUCUGUUAAGAUAAUAGUUUAUGUAGUGAAAAAUGGUUUAUGUAUUUUAUACAGUGGUAAAGUUAGAUGCUUCUGAUAGAUGACCAGUUUAGGAAGAGUGUUGAAUUUAGUCUUUUAUUGGGAAAGUAGGAAUACAGAAUUAUAGAAUCAUAGAAUGGCCUGGGUUGGAAUCUUGGAUCUUAAAGAUCACUUAGUUCCCAUAUCUUUAAACUUGAUUUGUUACAUGUGUUGCUGAGCAACUGUAGAUUUAUUCCGAAAGUCUCAGUUUAGAACUACUUUUUCCUUUAUAAGUUGUCAGUGCUUACAGUAACAUUGUGCAAGUUUUCCACCUAAUGCCAUCUCUAGUAGAAGAGUUAUUUAAACAUUAAGAUCAGAACAAAAUAUGCCUUCCUCUAGCUUUUUUUAAGAUGCUUAAUUAUGCCAACAGCAAUUAGUAGCCAGCUUAGUUUCUUGAAAUCAUAUUACUCCAGUCUGUUUUGCCUUUCAACAGUCUGUGCCCAAACAUUUCUUCAAAUUUUUAUGUGGUCUAGAACUUAUCUGCUGAUACACAAAUUCUGUUUGCAUAAUGUACAUUCACAUUUUAUUUUCCACUGGAACAUAAAAAUGUAUUUUGACUUCUCCCAGGGUUAUUUCUACACUUUGGGAAAAUAAUGCAUUUCUACGUUUAUGAAUAUGAAGUGUCCAACCCAGAGGCUGUCUAUGUAAAGGUCCAACCCUGCUCAUGUUUUCAUUCCAUUGUGUUAAGUACAGAGCAAAUAUUUUUAGUGGUUUGUAGGCCACUGCUCCACAAUUUCUUGUAAAAUGGCCUAAGAUUUGUUUAAAGGAAAACUACUUUUCUGCAUUAUAACUGUUAUUACUGUCAUAAAAAAUGAGGUGAUGAUACGAAAAAUAAAAGAUGAAAAUAGAAUGAAGUAUUUCCAAAGUUCCAAUUUAAAGGGUGCGUUUUCAAGCCUGUUCAAACUUUGUUUAACUAAGAUGAUAAUUUAAAACAGCUUAUGUCUAUGCAGUCUAUCUUUUCAUACAUUCUUCCUUUUUAUUUUCUAAUUAACUAUUAAUUAACUAAUUUCUAAUUAACAUUUAUGGACAUUUCCUUCAGAUUUUAUUCAUGCACUCUUUUCAAAUAGCUGAAAAGGUCUUGAGGGUAACCCCAAGUAUGAAUGGUAAGCUGGACAUGAACCAGCAAUGUGCUCUCACAGCUCAGAAAGCCAGCCGUAUCCUGGGCUGCGUCAAAAGAAGUGUGGCGGGCAGGUUGAGA